rnacentral:rRNA from 1 species
UCAUUAACGAGUUAGGGUCUCUCUGGCCCGACCUCCCAACCCUUUGUCUACUUGACCAUCGUUGCUUCGGCGAGCCCGUCCUCACGGACCGCCGGAGGGAUCUUUACUGGCCCUCUGGUCCGCGCUCGUCGGUAGCCCAACCUUUAAAAUCUUUAACUAAACGUGCCUUAAUCUAAGUACAAUUAUUAAAUAAAAGCAAAACUUUCAACAACGGAUCUCUUGGUUCUGGCAUCGAUGAAGAACGCAGCGAAAUGCGAUAAGUAAUGCGAAUUGCAGAAUUCCAGUGAGUCAUCGAAUCUUUGAACGCACAUUGCGCCCUUUGGUAUUCCGAAGGGCAUGCCUGUUCGAGCGUCAUUAUCACCCCUCAAGCCCUCGGCUUGGUGUUGGACGGUUUGGUGGAGGCCCCCUCGGGGGUUCCUGCCCCUCCCAAAGACAAUGACGGCGGCCUCGUUGGACCCCCGGUACACUGAGUUCUUCACGGGACACGUAUCGGACACAUGGGUUUACGGGACACGGUCUGCCUCCCCUCAGGGAGAAUCUUUCUAAGGUUGACCUCGGAUCAGGUAGGGAUACCCGCUGAACUUAAGCAUAUCAAUAAGCGGAGGAAAAGAAACCAACAGG